rnacentral:lncRNA from 1 species
UAAUGUCUUUUGUAAUUUACAUUCGUUACUCUUCACAUACUUAAGAUAUUCACAUAAUCUUUGUUUUCAUCCAGACAGCUCAUGAAUCCACUUCCAGUUAGCUUCAAAUACACAAUUGAGAAACUUAAGCUGCUUGAUUAAUUAUGUACAGAGGUAAUGGAACCUAACGUGUAUAAUCGUUCAGGUGCCGUUUGGCAAUUAAGGGCAAUAAAGUAAUUAAUCAAUUAAAAAAAGAAAGAAUUCAGUAAAAAACCCAAUCUUUUCCUCUUUUCUUUUUCAUCAACAGCCUCAACCAUCAUCACCCACUCCAAACCACCAUUGCUACCUUCCACCCCUAACCACCACAAUCACUACUAAUCGUAACCCCUAGAGACCACCAUACAAGCACAAAACCCAACUGCCGCCGUCUUAGUUAACUUUCAAAACCCUUGACAAUGUUGCUAGCCAACACUCAUGAAUCGUAGCACCAUCGCUGCCCGCCAGCAAACCCCAAGCCACAGUUGUUCCUUUCCUCCCAACUUGCCGACACUCUGCCUACGCCAAGUAGGGAUGGCAAUGGGCACCGCCCGCAGUGGGUUUGCCAUUACCAAAUCCAAACCGGCACAAAAUUUAAAUUACCAAACCCACCCGCAACCCGCAGCGGGUUUUAACAAUUACCAAACCCACAAUGGUAUCAGACGGAUUUUUUGCGGGUUUCCAUAUUUAAAAUCACAAAUGUUUAAUAUAUAAAUUUAUAAUGAUAACCUCAAAUUUCAUAUAACAUACUCA